UGCUCAGGAAACCAUACGUCGGUCGCGUCUGCACCAGGGAUUUUUCUGAUCUUGAUCGAACACAAGUACACAACAGUUUGCCAGCCAGAUUCAUCAUCAUCGCAAUUCGCAGAUAAUAAUCAUCAUCAUCAUCCGCAGAUUCGCAGGAGCCAGGAGAUCAUCCAUAACCCGGGGUUGUGAACGUCCAUCGGUGAUCUGGCAAAUCCUUCAGAGGGGUAAGUAAGUUCGAGAGCUUUGCUUUAAAAAACGUUAGGAGAACCACACUGUUUGCUUAGCAAAUUUGCGAAUAGGGCCUAAAUUUUUUAUCUCGAACAGGGCCAAAUUUUUUUCUGUGAUGUUCGGAGACGGCCCUG